CAGAAUGUUCACCGAAGCACCAAGGCUGUGUGUCCCUUAAUGCCAGAAAUAGCAGGAGGGCACAGAGCACACAACUAUAGCUAAGGACUGAUGUAAGAAGCCAUCUUGUACAAACAGAGGAGUCCACACACAAAGAGACCCAACAGUCUGUCAGACAAGGCAGCGCCAUCAAAAUUGAAACGCUUCAUGAAAUCAGGCUGAUUUUGCUGGAAUUUCAUUUUGGAAGAAAACCAGGAUCAGGACCUAAGAAUUGAAGAAGGACUGGGCACAAUGCAUGUGAAUUAUGACACGAGCCCUGCUUCUUGCCGAAGAUGGGAGCAGACGACUUACCCCAAUAAACUUCCUAAGAAAUUCCCUGGAGGAUUCAAUGUCCGUACUGGACAGCUCAAUGUAAUCUCCCAUCAUGCCCUCUUCUGUCGCUGGCACAUCCCGAUAGAAAUGUUUGGCUCUGGCAUAGAACUGCAUCUCGCCGUUGAUCACUUCGCUUGUUAA